rnacentral:rRNA from 1 species
AACGAACGCUGGCGGCAGGCCUAACACAUGCAAGUCGAGCGCCCCAGCAAUGGGGAGCGGCAGACGGGUGAGUAACGCGUGGGAACCUUCCCAGUGGUACGGAAUAGCCCAGGGAAACUUGGAGUAAUACCGUAUACGCCCGAAAGGGGAAAGAUUCAUCGCCAUUGGAUGGGCCCGCGUCUGAUUAGCUAGUUGGUGAGGUAAUGGCUCACCAAGGCGACGAUCAGUAGCNGGUCUGAGAGGAUGAUCAGCCACACUGGGACUGAGACACGGCCCAGACUCCUACGGGAGGCAGCAGUGGGGAAUAUUGGACAAUGGGCGCAAGCCUGAUCCAGCCAUGCCGCGUGAGUGACGAAGGUCUUCGGA